UACGUAGGGCGCAAGCGUUGUCCGGAAUUAUUGGGCGUAAAGAGCUCGUAGGCGGCUUGUCACGUCGGGUGUGAAAGCCCGGGCUUAACCCCGGGUCUGCAUUCGAUACGGGCUAGCUAGAGUGUGGUAGGGGGAGAUCGGAAUUCCUGGUGUAGCGGUGAAAUGCGCAGAUAUCAGGAGGAACACCGGUGGCGAAGGCGGAUCUCUGGGCCAUUACUGACGCUGAGGAGCGAAAGCCAGGGGAGCAAACGGG
rnacentral:rRNA from 1 species